UUAAAAAAUCAAGAGGUUGGACAAGGAGAACAAACAUUUUCCAUCUUAUGAGCUAGUUCUAACUGACUAGUGGUAACCACCUAGGGUACCGUCUGAAGACUAUCAGACCUUAUCCAGAACAUGGGGGGAAGAAAAGGUUUUAGUGUCACAGAGUGAUAGGGCCAUAAGGAAAAUCUAGCCCACUCAAACCCCAAGCCUGUGAGCCCCUGCGAGUUGACAUUGGUCUAAUUCAUCUUGUACCCCCAGUGGCUGACCCAGUGCUUGGCACAUAAUGAAUACAUGAUUACAAUGAGACACAAUGACUACAUUGAACACAUAAUUGAAUGAAUUAACUUCCUGCACGUCUGACCACAGGGCUUACUUCUCUUUAUUUUAAAUUGUUACCAUUGGAUAAAAACAAGGAAAUCCUCUCCAAAUAGAGGAACAUACUGCCAACCCUUCAAAGAGAUCAGAGUGAAUGCUAACAUGAAAGACACCCCACCAGGGCUAGUAGAGGCACAGGACAGGAAGAACAGGGGAGACGCUGUCUCUCCUCCACCUCGGUCUCUGCUAGGGAGAUACUGCGUGUGGUCCAUAGGGACUCCACUAACACUACAGUAAAAGGAUUUCUUAAAAAGACAGAAAGGCACAGACAUUGGGAGGCGAGAGGAGGAGACAACAGCAAUAAAAUGUGGAAGCUGCAAUGCAGAUGGAUGAAUGGCUUGGAAAUCAUCACCACCUCCGUGGUCCCUGCUUCCUACUCCAUGCGUAGCGUUGAAGACAGAGGUUCAAGUUGUGUCUUGGAAAAUGCAUCCAUCUGUUCUGAGAAAGGGCCAUGGGCUUCAAAACAGAUUAUACAUCAAGCCAGGAACACAGUGUGAGCUUGCAAACUUCAGAAAGCCUUUCCCACCUUGGUGCUCCCACUGGAGCUUGCAUUUGAGAAGCGAGGGUCCCUACGGAGAAUCGUACCUACUGGCAUUGGGUGGAGACAAAGACGUUCUCAACAGGCAACCUCUCACACCAAAGUUUUGGAAUUUUCUCUAGCAGACUAGAGAAGCUUUCGCAACCUUGCAAUUUCCGAAGAAGAUAACUAGCCAGGCCUGGAGCACUCGUCGUGUUUCAGGACGUGGUCUGUGUGCUGUUUGGAGCCAUCUCAUCACAUG